rnacentral:rRNA from 1 species
AGCGAACGCUGGCGGCAGGCUUAACACAUGCAAGUCGAGCGGGCAUAGCAAUAUGUCAGCGGCAGACGGGUGAGUAACGCGUGGGAACGUACCUUUUGGUUCGGAACAACUGAGGGAAACUUCAGCUAAUACCGGAUAAGCCCUUACGGGGAAAGAUUUAUCGCCGAAAGAUCGGCCCGCGUCUGAUUAGCUAGUUGGUGAGGUAAUGGCUCACCAAGGCGACGAUCAGUAGCUGGUCUGAGAGGAUGAUCAGCCACAUUGGGACUGAGACACGGCCCAAACUCCUACGGGAGGCAGCAGUGGGGAAUAUUGGACAAUGGGCGCAAGCCUGAUCCAGCCAUGCCGCGUGGGUGAUGAAGGCCCUAGGGUCGUAAAGCUCUUUUGUGCGGGAAGAUAAUGACGGUACCGCAAGAAUAAGCCCCGGCUAACUUCGUGCCAGCAGCCGCCGUAA